rnacentral:rRNA from 1 species
UACCAGCACCCCGAGUGGUCGGGACGAUUAUUGGGCCUAAAGCAUCCGUAGCCGGUUUUACAAGUCCUCCGUUAAAUCCAGCUGCUUAACAGAUGGGCUGCGGAGGAUACUAUAAGACUAGGAGGCAGGAGAGGCAAGCGGUACUCAGUGGGUAGGGGUAAAAUCCGUUGAUCCAUUGAAGACCACCAGUGGCGAAGGCGGCUCGCCAGAAUGCGCUCGACGGGUGAGGGAUGAAAGCUGGGGGGAGCAAACCGG